AUCUACAGAAGUAUGUUACCAUAAACAAGCCUGAGUAAUUAAUAAGGGAUGCUUAUGAUCCAAUUAUGUUCUGUGAUUGAUAAGAGGUAUUUGUUAUAGCUAAAUGUUUUUUUUAA